UACGUAGGGGGCAAGCGUUGUCCGGAUUUACUGGGCGUAAAGAGCGCGCAGGCGGUCGUGCAAGUCGGGUGUGAAAGCCCCCGGCUCAACUGGGGAGGGGCACGCGAUACUGCUCGACUUAAAGGCAGGAGAGGGAAGUGGAAUUCCCGGUGUAGUGGUGAAAUGCGUAGAUAUCGGGAGGAACACCAGUGGCGAAGGCGACUUCCUGGCCUGUUCUUGACGCUGAGGCGCGAAAGCUAGGGUAGCAAACGGG
rnacentral:rRNA from 1 species